rnacentral:rRNA from 1 species
AACGAACGCUGGCGGCAGGCCUAACACAUGCAAGUCGAACGAGAAGCCACCUUCGGGUGGUGGACAGUGGCAGACGGGUGAGUAACGCGUGGGAACGUGCCUUUCGGUUCGGGAUAACCCAGGGAAACUUGGGCUAAUACCGGAUACGCCCUCCGGGGGAAAGGAUUCAUUGCCGAAAGAAUCGGCCCGCGUCGGAUUAGCUAGUUGGUGGGGUAAAAGGCCUACCAAGGCGACGAUCCGUAGCUGGUCUGAGAGGANGACCAGCCACACUGGGACUGAGACACGCCCAGACUCCUACGGGAGGCAGCAGUGGGGAAGUAUUGGACAAUGGGCGAAAGCCUGAUCCAGCGACGCCGCGUGGGUGAAGAAGGCCUGCGGGUUGUAAAGCCC